GUGGGGAAUAUUGCGCAAUGGGGGAAACCCUGACGCAGCAACGCCGCGUGAGUGAUGAAGGCUUUCGAGUCGUAAAACUCUGUCUUUGGGGACGAAUAAUGACGGUACCCAAGGAGGAAGCCCCGGCUAAAUACGUGCCAGCAGCCGCGGCAAUAUGUAUGGGGCAAGCGGCGUCCGGAAUCACUGGGCGUAAAGGGCGCGUAGGCGGUUUGUUAAGUCAGGUGUGAAAGUUUUAAGCUUAACUGGGAAAGUGCACUUGAAACUAACUUACUUGAGUACUGGAGAGGUAAGCGGAAUUCCUAGUGUAGCGGUGAAAUGCGUAGAUAUUAGGAAGAACACCGGUGGCGAAGGCGGCUUACUGGACAGAGACUGACGCUGAGGCGCGAAAGCGUGGGGAGCGAACAGGAUUAGAUACCCUGGUAGUCC
rnacentral:rRNA from 1 species